rnacentral:lncRNA from 1 species
UGGGGGUGGGGGUGGGGGUGAGUGGUGUAACUGAGGAAGAGUCCCUGGCAUACUGCAACUAGGUCAGAAGUGACAGCAUUCAGCCCUCCCCUCCUUAGGGAGUGGGGUAAGGGGGCGACCCCGCCCAGUGCAGAGGGUGGCGAGUCAGGAGCCGACGAAUGCUGGAGAGGCCAUCCGCAGGGGCGGGUCUCUCCAGAGAGCAGCCGGGUGACAACGUGGCACAGAACGGCACUGCAUCGGAGUAGGCACACUGCAAAGACGAGACGAGUCCUCCCCAGAGAGGGGAGGCGGUUAAGGAGAGGAGAUUGCGUGGCUCGGAGCAGCCAGACCCGAUGGUGUGCUUCUCACCUCAGCGUGAUAGCCUGACCUUGACUCCUGAGUUCCACGAUCGCUUCACAACUGCAAGUCACCAUCAUACAAAAUUUGAGUUUCCCUAAGUCCGCGCCUUUGAGAGCUUUGGAACGAUAUGCAAGUUCAAGUCACCAUCCUGUUUCUUGCUACCUCCUGGUUUCCGAUGGCACCUGUGUCAAGGUCUUCCAACAACUCCGGGUCUUCCAGCGACUUCAAGUCUUCCAA